ACCCAGAUAGCUCAGUGGUUGAGCAUCUGACUUCAGCUCAGAGCAUGAUCCUGGGUC
rnacentral:tRNA from 1 species